rnacentral:rRNA from 1 species
AGAGUUUGAUCCUGGCUCAGAACGAACGCUGGCGGCAGGCCUAACACAUGCAAGUCGUACGAGAAGGUUCUUUCGGGAACUGGAGAGUGGCGCACGGGUGAGUAACGCGUGGGGACCUACCUCUUAGUGGGGGAUAACGGUUGGAAACGACCGCUAAUACCGCAUACGCCCUUCGGGGGAAAGAUUUAUCGCUAAGAGAUGGACCCGCGUUGGAUUAGAUAGUUGGUGAGGUAAUGGCUCACCAAGUCGGCGAUCCAUAGCUGGUUUGAGAGGAUGAUCAGCCACACUGGGACUGAGACACGGCCCAGACUCCUACGGGAGGCAGCAGUGGGGAAUAUUGGACAAUGGGGGCAACCCUGAUCCAGCCAUGCCGCGUGAGUGAAGAAGGCCUUCGGGUUGUAAAGCUCUUUCAGAUGCGAAGAUGAUGACGGUAACAUCAGAAGAAGCCCCGGCUAAUUUCGUGCCGGCAGCCGCGGUAAUACGAAAGGGGCAAGCGUUGUUCGGAUUUACUGGGCGUAAAGGGCCCGCAGGCGGUCUUGCCAGUCAGGGGUGAAAGCCCGGGGCUCAACCCCGGAACUGCCUCUGAUACUGCAAGACUAGAGACUAGGAGAGGGUGGUGGAAUUCCCAGUGUAGAGGUGAAAUUCGUAGAUAUUGGGAGGAACACCAGAGGCGAAGGCGGCCACCUGGACUAGAUCUGACGCUCA